rnacentral:rRNA from 1 species
AGCAGUAGCCGCGGUAAAACGAAGGGGGCUAGCGUUGCUCGGAAUCACUGGGCGUAAAGGGUGCGUAAGCGGGUCUUUAAGUCAGGGGUGAAAUCUUGGAGCUCAACUCCAGAACUGCCUUUGAUACUGAAGAUCUUGAGUUCGGGAGAGGUGAGUGGAACUGCGAGUGUAGAGGUGAAAUUCGUAGAUAUUCGCAAGAACACCAGUGGCGAAGGCGGCUCACUGGCCCGAUACUGACGCUGAGGCACGAAAGCGUGGGGAGCAAACAGGAUUAGAUACCCCCGUAGUCCCUGUCUCUUAUAC